rnacentral:lncRNA from 1 species
UGGGGUCACCGUAAUGGAAAAAGAGAUAUUUCAAAAAAGGGGUUAACAAUUUGAAUUGGCGGGAACACAUUGCGCCAAUUCUAAAAACAACGUCGAAAAGACGUUCGGAGUUCGGCCGUUUUAGGCUAUAUUCUCACAAAUUAGAGACAACCCAGUUCUCGUUAUUUGCUGUUUUGUUGUUUGUUUGUUUUAAACUACGAUAAAUUCACAGUAAAUCUACACAUGAUAGUACUUAGUUUUCAGUCAGUAUCACAGACACGUAAUAUAAAUGCGGUGGUUGGAAAACAAUGCGUUGUACAAAAGUACACACGAAUGCUUCUGUGAACAUUUCAUUUCAGGUUAUUCAUAGUGCUUACGUGUUGAACAGAAAUUCUUUUUAAAAUAGUGAAGACAUUUUAUAUAAUAUCAUUGUUCAAUCAAAGUACAUCUGAAAGACAAGACAGAAUUUUGCUUCCGGUAUCAUGAAUUUUAAUUUCGUUUAAGAAUGUUGUUCCUUUUUAUUUUGAUGAUAAUUACUUAAAAUCAUUAGAAAAUCUAAGACUCCGUUUCCAAUAACAAUAAAGAUCGAUCAUUUCUGAGAUCGCCGAUCUUUAGUAUUGCAAAAAUGAGAAAGAUUGAUCUUCAAUCGGACGUAAACAUUCCAUCCCCAGAC